AUCACGAAUCAUUACAUAAAUGCAAAUCAAAAUAAAAAUGAGAUACUGUCUCACACCAGUCAGAACGGGUAUUAAAAUAGUCAAAAAAUAGGCUGGGUGUGGUGGCUCAAGUCUGUAAUCUUAGCACUUUGGGAGGUUGAGGAGGGCAGAUCGCUUGAGCUCAGGAGUUCAAGACCAGCCUGGGCAACAGGGCAAAACCCCGUCUCUACAAAAAAUAUUUAAAAAUUAGCCAGGCAUGGUCAUGCCUGCCUGUAGCCCCAGCUACAGGCACGUAAGGUGGGAGGCCAAGGUGGGAGUAUCACUUGAGCCUCAGAGGUGAAGGCUGCAGUGAGCUGAGAUUGCACCACUGCACUCCAGCCUGGGUGAGAGUGAGCCCCUGUCUCAAAAAAAAAAAACAAAAAAACAAAAAAACAAAAAAAAACAAAAAAACAAAAACAAAACAAAAAACAGCUGGGUGCAGAGGCUCAUGCCUGUAAUCCUAGCACUUUGGGAGGCCAAGGCAGGUGGAUCACCUGAGGUUAAGAGUUUGAGACAAGCCUGGCCAACAUGGUGAAACCCUGUCUCUACUAAAAAUACAAAAAUUAGCUGGACGUGGUAGAGCACACCUGUAGUCCCAGCUACUCAGGAGGCUGAAGUAGGAGAAUUGCUUGAAUCUGGGAGGCAGACGUUGCAGUGAGCGGAGAUCAUGCCACUGCACUCCAGCCUGGGCGACACAGCAAGACUCCGUCUCAAAAAUAAUAAUAAUAAUAAUAAUAACAUGCUGGUGAGGCUGUGGAGAAAAGGGAAUGCUUACACAGUGCUGUUAGGACUAUAAAUUAGUUCAGCCACUGUGGAAACCUGUUUGGUGAUUUCUCAAAUAAUUUAAAACAGAACUACCCUUCAACUUAACAAUUGCAUUAUUGGGUAUAUACCCAAAGAAAAUAAAUCAUUCUAUCAUAAAGACACACACAUGCAUAUGUUCAUUGCAGCACUAUUCACAAUAGCAAAGACAUGGAAUCAACCUAAAUGCCCAUCAAUGGUAGACUAGAUAAAGAGGUGGUACAUAUACAGCAUGAAAUACUUUGCAGCCAUAAAAAAUAAUGAGAGCAUGUUCUUUGUAGAAGCUGUAGGUCGUUAUCCUAAAUGAGCUAAUGUAGGAACAGAAAACCAAAUACCACAUGUUCUCACUUACAAGUGGGAGCUAAACACUGAGUACACAUGGACACAAAGAAGAAAACAAUAGGCACUGGAGUCUACUUGAGGGUGCAGGGUGGGAGGAGGGUGAAGAUAGAAAAACUAACCAUCAGGUACUAUGCUUAUCACCCGAGUGACGAAAUCAUAUAUACAACAAAACCCCGUGACAUGUAUUUACCUAUAUAAUAAAUCUGCGCAUGUAGCUCUGAACUUAAAAGUUUAAAAACACAAAACAGCCGGGCACGGUGGCUCAUGCCUGUAAUCCUAGCACUUUGUUAGGCCAACGCAGGCAGAUCUCUUGAGGUCAGGAGUUCAAGACCAGCCUGGCCAACAUGGUGAAACCCUGUCUCUACUAGAAAUACAAAAAGUAGCCAGGCAUGGUUGUGGAUGCCUGUAAUCCCAGCUACUCGGGAGGCUGAGGCAGGAGAAUUGCUUGAACUCGAGAGGCAAAGGUUGCAGUGAUCCAAGAUGGCACCAUUGCACUCCAACCUGGGCGACAGAGCAAGACUCCAUCUCAAAAAAAAAAAAAAAACAAAAACCAAAAACCAAAAAUAACAACAACAACAAAAAAACAUCUGAUGUAUCUCUCAGAAAGCAAUAUUCCAUUUAUGUUUCAGGACUGGAUUUCUCUAUGGGCUUAUUGGUGUAUAUGGGAGACAGAGCACGUUCUAAUAAAUAUUGUCAAUAUUUGCUUACAACAAAUUUCUUUCUUCUUUUUUAAAAUUUUCUUUAUUUUAGUUUGAAAAAAAAUAGAGAUGGGGUCUCACUAGGUUGUCCAGGCUGAGCUUGAACUUCUGAGCUCAAGUGAUCCUCUUGCCUUGGUUUCCCAAAGUGCUAGGAUUAUAGGCAUGAGUCAUUGUACCUAGUAUCUCUCUCUCUCUCUUUUUUUUUUUUUUAAAUAAAAUAGAGACAGAGGCUAGGUGCGGUGGCUCAUGCCUGUAAUCCCAGCACUUUGGGAGGCUGAGGCAGGCAGAUGACGAGGUCAGAAGUUCAAGACCAGCCUGGACGACAUGACAAAACCCUGUCUCUACUGAAAAUACAAAAAUUAGCUGGGCAUGGUGGCACAUGCCUGUAGUCCCAGCUACUCAGGAGGCUGAGGCAGGAGAACCGCUUGAACUCGGGAAGCAGAGGUUGCAGUGAGCCGAGAUCACACCAUUGCACUCUAGCCUGGGUGACAGAGCGAGACUCUAUCUCAAAAAAUAAAUAAAUAAAUAAUAGAGACAGAGUAUGACUAUGUUGCCUAGGCUGUUCUUUAACUCCUGGUCUUAAGCAAUCCUCCUGCCUUGCCCCUGCUAAAAUGUUGGGAUCACAGGUGAAGCCACCAUGUCCAGCCUUUUUUUUUUUUUUUUUUUUUUUUGCUUUCUCUCUCUCUCUCUCUUUCAUAAAUUAGA
rnacentral:lncRNA from 1 species